rnacentral:rRNA from 1 species
AGCGAACGCUGGCGGCAGGCUUAACACAUGCAAGUCGAACGGGCAUAGCAAUAUUUCAGUGGCAGACGGGUGCGUAACGCGUGGUAACGUACCUUUUGGUUCGGAACAACACAGGGAAACUUGUGCUAAUACCGGAUAAGCCCUUACGGGGAAAGAUUUAUCGCCUGAAGAUCGGCCCGCGUCUGAUUAGCUUGUUGGUAUGGUAAUGGCCUACCAAGGCGACGAUCAGUAGCUGGUCUGAGAGGAGGAUCAGUGACAUUGGGACUGAGACCCGACUCCAACUCGUACGAGCAGUAGCAGUGGGGGAUAUAGGACAAUGAGCCAGAGGCUGCUCCAGCCAUGCCGCGUGGACGAUGAACGGGCUAGAGUUGUAAAGCGCUAUUGUGCGGGAAGAUAAUGACGGUACCGAAAGAAGAAGCACCGGCUAACUUCGUG